ACUUGACAGGUAUUCACAGGAGACACUCGGAACCCAGGAGAUCUAGAUCCAAGUAUUUUUGAGGGAGUCACACAUGUCAUAUGCUGCACCGGGACAACGGCUUUUCCUUCGAAACGGUGGGAUGGAGAUAACACUCCAGAAAGAGUAGAUUGGGAGGGUGUGAAAAAUCUUGUAUCUGCUCUUCCUUCGUCAGUGAAGAGGGUUGUUCUUGUUUCGUCAGUAGGUGUAACCAAGUUUAACGAACUGCCUUGGAGGUAAGACUAACGGUGAGUACAGUUGAUUUUCUUUGCAAAUUAAUUAGCAAUUUCGUUCACAUUA